rnacentral:rRNA from 1 species
GGGUCAGUAGGUUGGUCGUGCCACCGGUACGUACUGGUAUAACUGAUUCCUCCUUCCUGAAGAACCGUAAUGCCAUUAAUUUGGUGUUGCGGGGAAACAGGACUGUUACUUUGAAAAAAUUAGAGUGUUUAAAGCAAGCUAACGCUUGAAUAAAUUAGCAUGGAAUAAUGAAAUAGGACGAUCGAUCCUAUUUUGUUGGUUUCUAGGAUUGACGUA